GGCCAUUCGUCUAGUUAAUAUAUUGAGACGUUACAGAAACAAUUUUCAAUUGUACAUAAAUUCCUUUAAAAUGUUAUUUUAAUUUUUCAUGUGUUUAUUUUCAAUUUCUUUUUCUCAUUCAUUAAAAGUCAAUGAUGUACAUGCAAAAUUAGUAAAAACUCAAUAAAAACGAUAUGUAAAAAUAGAUAUAAGAAAAUGGCUUGUAAACAAAGGCGGCAAUAAAAUGAGUUGAGGUAAAAUGUCUAUUCCAUUAACAAACAUUUCACUUUUAAAAUAAUGAACUUAAAAAUUAAAGUUUUACAAAACAGAAAAUUAGCGUUUUAUAAAAAUAAAAACGUGGCAAUAUAUAGUCACGACCGUCUGUCGUGGCCUCUGUCACGGAUAAUAUACAGUUAUUAUCGUCAUGCGUUCUUAAUUCUGUCACCAUUUGCUUUUGGUUCAGUGGUAGAAUGCUUGCCUGCCACGCUGGCGCCCCGGGUUCGAUUCCCGGCAGAUGCAUUUUUUUUUUUUUUCAAUUUUUAAAACUCAUUUAUAUAUUAUACAAGAAUGACAUCCACGGCGCCAAUUUAUAAUUGUAACGAAUAGUAUUUGAAUAAAAGCAUUUAAUCGGGUAAACCCCGGGCGUUGUAGAUUAUAAACACAAGGUAAUAAGACCACAUCCAUGAUAAGGUACAGUUUGGAUUAUAGAUUAUAAACACAAGGUAAUAAGACAACAUCCAUGAUAAGGUACAGUUUGGAUUAUACAUAUAUUAUAUUAUAUUAUAUAUAUAUAGUCACGAGAGUCUUUCCUGAUCAGUCAGUCAUUGGCCGGCCGCCUCUGUCACGGAUGCGCGCGCACAGGGAGGUCACGUGCUCGCCGACAGCCAACGGGCGCGCGCCGCCGGCGGGGGGGGGGCAUUACGUCACUCAAGGUCACCUACGCGCCAACGAUGACACGUGAUUGUAGCCGUCCAAUAGGAGGGCUACCGGCCAUCCGUGACAGAGGCGGCCUAUGACUGAUUGAUUAGGAUAUGCAUUUAUUUAAGGCGCCAAUUUAUAAUUGUAACAAAUAGUAUUUGAAUAAAAACAUUCAAUCAGGUAAAACACAGGCGUUGCCCGGGUCAUUAGGCUAGUAGAUUAUAAACACAAGGUAAUAAGACCAAAUCUAAAUAAAUAGUGUGAUGUUUCAUAACAGCAUUGUUACCUCACAAUAUUUAUUUGGUCUUAUUACCUUGUGUUUAAAAUGCUAACCAAUCAAAUCAGAAUUUGAACACAAUUCUUUUAUGCAAGUUUGAUGUUAAUAUUUAACUGUAUUCAUUGUAAUAACAUAUGGUAUCCUUCUGCAUCUUUUUUAAUAAAGGCAUAAAAGUGCAUCAAAUCCUAUGUGGAAAAAUAUUUUAAUUUUAUUCAACUUAUUGUCCUGGUGUGGAACUAACACCUACCCACAUAUUCUCAUGCCCAGCAAUGGCCGCAGCCUUGCAGUAAAUUGGCAUGGACCCAGAACAGCAGCUUUACACACCCAAGAUAGAGGACAUUGCGACUGCUGUGAUAGAGAUGUAUGGAGACAUCUGAGGCUCUUCAUUGGACAUGACAACAACAACAGAAAAUUGACAUGGACCCAGAACAGCAGCUUUACACACCCAAGAUAGAGGACAUUGCGACUGCUGUAAUAGAGAUGUAUGGGGACAUCUGAGGCUCUUCAUUGGACACAACAACAACAGAAAAUUGACAUGGACCCAGAACAGCAGCUUUACACACCCAAGAUAGAGGACAUUGUGACUGCUGUGAUAGAGAUGUAUGGAGACAUCUGAGGCUCUUCAUUGGACACAACAACAACAGAAAUUUGACAUGGACCCAGAACAGCAGCUUUACACACCCAAGAUAGUGGACAUUGCUGUGAUAGAGAUGUAUGGAAACAUCUGAGGCUCUUCAUUGGACACAACAACAACAGAAAUUUGACAUGGACCCAGAACAGCAGCUUUACACACCCAAGAUAGAGAACAUUGCUGUGAUAGAGAUGUAUGGAGAUAUCUGAGGCUCUUCAUUGGACACAACAACAAGGGGGAGAACUACUUAACACUUUGAGGAACAUUGGUUUCACAACCGAAAUAGCCCUGUGAACCAGGAUAAAACUUGAUUUUUUUUUUAAAUCAUAUUUAUAAAAAUUUAUUACCUAGAACAGUGAAAUUUGAUGCUUGUAUCAAAAUAUGUCUAUAAAACACAAAAAUGCAAUAAAAAAAUAUAUGUUUAUUGGCACUUUUUCAAAAUAAAAAAUAAAAAUAAAAAAAGAACUAAAAAAAUGCAAACUGCCAAAAAAAACGCCACUGUUUGUAAAAAAAAUAAUCUGAGGAAAUUAUUAAAAUUUUUAUAUUUAUAUACAUUGUUAUUCCCAGUACUUCAUUUCUGCAUGGUACUUUUCGAAGCACUCUCCAACGCAAAGUGGAAUCUUGCAUUGUUUGCACUCAAAUCUGGUGUCCUUCCGGGCUGCCUUCCCAGUCUUGUGCUUUGCACUAUCUGCACAAACUUUGCACCUUCUUUGCACUGCUUUUCCACUUUCUGGGGCUAUUUUAUAGCAGUAGUGCUUCCCAAGUAGCCUGGCAACAUCAGUUUUCGAAGUUGUUUCUUUUUCAGAGUGUUCAAUGCUUGCCUGAUUGAGCAACUCCCCACCGACAGCCAGAUAGAAGUCCUUCAUACUUAUUUUUUUAUCAGGAUUUGCUUUAUUGUAAAUGAUGUUGCCAUUUACAAAACAAAGUGAAAAAAGAUGGAAGAAUAUUUUUUUCCACCAUUUCAAUGUUUUUCUGCUAAAAGAAUAAUAUGCCAUCAUCUGAUCGCUCCGGUCCACUCCUACCUUCCCCUUGUUGUAAUCGAUGACAGCAUCAGGCUUGAACAACUCUUCUCUGGUUGGGGUUUUGGGCUUGACUGGCAUCAUUUUACCUUCAUGGACAGUGGAGAGCAUGAAAACAUCUCUAACAUCUUUCCAUUUGAUGGCUAAAAGAUGUUUUCUUCUAAUCUUUAUAAUCUCUCCUCUCUUUAGUUUUUGGGAAAAUUCGGUUUUUGGCAUCGUUUUCCUGGAAGGCAUAACUGUGCCAACAGCUAGGGUCUUUUUUUCCCAAAGUUUAUCAAAUAACUCAGGAGAGGAAAACCACCUAUCAAAAUAGAUAUGAUAGCCUUGUCCAUAAAACCUCUUUGCCAGCCUGUCCACGAGGUUCGGAAUGGAGUUGUGCUCUGGCUGCUCAGGAUCCUUGCCAGUGUAGAUAUCAAGAUUUUAAGCGUAUCCAGAUACAGCUUCACAAAUCUGGAAUAUCUUGAUGCCAUAUUUAUGAGGUUUUCCUUGUAUAUACACUCGAAAACCCAUACGUCCUCUGAACGGACACAUCGCCUCAUCAAUAGUGAGAUUUUGCUGAGGAGUGUAGGCAUUCCCAAAAGAAUAUAUGAGGGAUUCCAAAACUGGUCUUAUUUUGAAGAGUCUGUCAUGCCCUGGUUUUCCAUAUUCAAUGUAUUUUGAAUUGUCAUUCAAAUGUAGCAUUGACAAAAUUCUCAUAAAUAGUGUCCUUGGCAUAUUUAUGGACUGGCAAAAGGCAUUCUUCAGGAAUCCGUGAGUAGACCAGUAGUCUUUCAUCCCAGGCUUCUUCACCAAAGACAUGUGUAUGAUGACACAGAAAAAGAGCUUUAUCUGUGCCACUGACACAGCCUUCCACUUAGCCAGCAUGCCAUGAGGCUUGAGAGGACCCUUCUUGGACUCCCGAUCAAUAAUACUCCUGGCAUAUCGGUUUGUUUCCUCUUUGAUGCUUUUGAAAAUAUUCUCUGUAAAGAAGAGACUGAACGCAUCAAAUGGUGAGGAAAUAUCCCCCACUAAAUUUAGUCCAGGGCGGGCGGUGAAAGGGGGAGGAGUUGGGGGCGAGGGAUCAUCUUUCCUCCAGGUGCCGGCGGCAACAUUGGAGCCAGCGGCGGCAGUGGACGUGUCCCGACAUGUCAUCAGCAUGCGAACUGGAGCUACUUCUAAUCGUGGCCGUUUAGCAGGAAUUUCUUCCCUUUCUUCCUACUCAAAUUCUAAUUCAUCGGAGGCUGAAUUUUCGUAAUCAGGAUCCUUCACUUCAUCAUCAAUUUCUGAGCCAGAAUCGUAAAGAUAUUCAAGAAUAUCUUGAAUGUCUUUAUCUAAAUGAACUUCUGAUCCCAAACCUUUUGAAGUGCUAGGUUGAUCCAAAGGAUUUAUUUCAAUAACGUUAUGAAAUUAGAGGCAAAAUAACUUAGAAAAAACGAGCGAAAAGAGAUUAGAGAUAACAAAAACAAACUUGCCUGUUAUCAGUUUGUCAGCAAGCUAGCCAAUGAGAUUGAGCAACAGAUGACUAAUUUUUUUGCCUGCCAACAGUAUCGUCCUGACAUCUAGUGAUCAUUUUUGUAACUAUUCAUGAUAGGCCGAUGAUUUGCCGAAGGGAUUUCUUGACGUACUGCGUUCUAUGAUUUUCUAUUGAUUUUUAAAGUGCCGCGACGUAUAAAAACGGGGUUGGUCCGCUAGGCUUAAUAGCAUAUGACGUAUAAAAACGGCGUUGGUCUUCAAAGUGUUAACACAGCCAGGCAAUCACUCUUCAAUGGAUACCAAAUUUGCUCCUAAAGUAAUGAAAGAGCGAAGGAAAUACCUUGCCCUUGAAGCUGGACUUCUAAAGGUCAAAUAAAUCUCCUAUUAGGUCAAGAGUAUAAAGAUAUGAUAAAACAUGGUUUUUUUUUUCCCCAUAAAAAUGGUCAUUGAAUGCUUAUAUAAAAAAAAGAUAUUAUGUCCUUUUAGUGAAAACAUUAUUGUCAUGGUGGGAACCUAAGUUGACUAAUUAACAUGAAAUAAAGUGUAAUUUAUUAAAGUCAAACUGCUUUUCACAUAUUGUUGUUGUUUUCUUAUCCCCUUGUGCAAAGCUUACACGAAUUCCAUGAGUUCAAUGGAAUGGGGUGUAGGGGUGCAGAUUCCAUUGAUCAUGGCACCAUGAUCCACUUUGGUGAAAGUCCGACUGUAAUUUGAGGUUGUUCCUAACAUGGAAGCCUUUGCUGCCAACUGACAACAUGAGUACAGACCUCCGUAUCCCUGGAGAGGAACCCUUGCUGAGGUCUAUCAACCAGGUCAGUUGAAGUCAGGAUUUUUAAAGAAGUUUUUCUCCUCUUUCUAACAAUGCUGCUGUUGGUCCACGACUGCUUAUUUGUCAGUAAUUCUGAUUGUUUCACAGCUGGCCUUCAUAUCUGAAGGUGGUUCCCCUAUCUGCCACCUGGGGACGUGCCCUGUAGCAGUCAGCUCUGCCGAGGGAGCUUUUCACAUGUGUAGACAUGUAGUGCGCUUACAGUAAAAGCAGUCGCCAACUUCUACCCACCAUGAUUAUCAUGGCCUGUACUACGUGUACUAGAGAUGAUAAGGCACAAUUUAGAUUAUAGAUUCUAAAAAUAAAGUAAUAAGACCAAAUCCAAAUAAAUAAAUUCAGAAUGGAAGAAAGAGGAUUUUAAUAGAUAUGCUUUUAAUUAUAUCUUUAAAAAAAGUGGGGUUUUCCACUUUUAAUUCUAAGAAUAAUAUUCUGUUUCUCAUAAAACUAUCUUCUUAUCUGCUAUCUUGUUUACACACCCACUUGAUAACAGUAACUAUUUAAAACAUUGAGUCAAAAGGUGAUCCAUUAAUUAAGAUUAUAUAAAAGGGCAUACCUGGAUCUGUGUAAAGAAAAAAAAAAUUUUUUUUCUUAAAAUAUUUUGAGAAAAGAGGGAGCAAUCUCUCGAAAUAUUAAAAAAAAAAAAUUUUUUUUUUUCUUUACAGAUCCAGGUAUGCCCUUUUAUAUAAUAUUUAAAACAUGCUGUGGUAAAAUUUCUCAUUCAAUACUUUUGUCUGAAGAUGGUAACAAUGCUGUUACACUGAAACAUCAUACACUAUUUAUUUGGAUUUGGUCUUAUUAUAUUGUGUGUACUAGAGAUGAUAAAAGAAAGUGUGAAUUUCCAUAAAGACAUUUGACUGAAUUAAAAAGGCACAAUUUGGAUUAUAGAUUAUAAACACAAGGUAAUAAGACCUAAUCCCAAUAAAUAAAUAGAGUAUGACGCUUCGGUAACAGCGUUGUUACCAUUAUUUAAGUUUUAUCUUUCUCAAUCUAAUGAACUGUUGAAGAAAUUCUUUCCAAUUGCUGUCCCAAAUUUCAUUUCUUCUGAUAAAUUCACUACUUUAUUCUUAACAGGCAAAGGACCCUUCUUAAGUUUCCUAUUCAAACUGAAUGUUAUCAAUGAUCCAACAUGUGAAUGCCGCUUAGAUGUUGAAUCACCAUAGCAUCUUCUUUUAACUUGCCCUCCGACUACUCAAAUUGUAUGUAGAUACUUUGAAACAUUACCAAAUUCUUUUGUGCAUAUACUCUAUCUUAUGAGAACUUUGUUAAGUUUAGAACUAUUUGUACAAUAAUUUACAAAACACUACUAAUCCAUCGUGUAAAUAAUUAAUCAUAUAUAUGUAAAUAAUACUAGCACAGCACAAUAGUCCUUUGGACUUCGUGCUUUUGUAACAAUAAAUAAAAUAAAAAUAAAUAAAUAAAAAUCUUCAGACAAAAGUACUGAAUGUAGUAUUAGUUUUAGAAUUAGUAUUAGUUACCAAAACCUCACACACUAUUUAUUUGGAUUUGGUCUUAUUACCUUGUGUUUACAUUUGAUUGAAGAAACAAAAAAAAAUAGUUUAACAAAUACCACACAACACCAAGAAAAGGAAUCCUUAAAUAAAAGAGUCAACAACAAUAAGAAAAAAAAAAUCUUUAUUGGUGCUGCAAGUUGUUUUUUUUUUUUUUUUUUUCAUUUUGAAAGUACAUAACUGAUAUAGGAGAGAGAAAAAAAAACCAAAUCUCUUGGCCCAACAAAAACAGUACAAGAAAUUGAUUUGAAGUAAAGAUACAAAAAAUAAAAGGAAGAAUGAAAGUACAGAGAGCCUUUUUUUGAACAUGUCAACAUAAGACAACCCAACGUGUGUUGUGGUAUAUAUAUAAGAUAUAAAUGAUACACUUGUUCAUCUCUCUAGAGCACAAAUAAUAAUAAUAUAUAUAUAUAAUAAUAAAAUAUAUCAUCAAAGAAAAAAAAAUUUUUUUAAGUACACAAAAAAAUUUUUUUUUAAGUACACCAAAAAAAAAAUAUAUAUAUAUAUAUAUAUCUAAAAAAAAAACAUGCUUCAAGAUUGCACUUCAUAUUUUUCAAUCAAAAAAAAAAAAACUUCUAGCCAAAAAAGUUUCAUAACAACAAAUAAUAAUAAUAAUAAAAAAAAGCAGAUCUCAAAGAAGUAAAAGAAGAUUAAAAAAAAAAAAAGAAUAAGUGAGAGAAGAAGAAGAAGAAAAAAAAAACAAAAGGCUUUGGCACAUGUAAAAAAAAAAAAAAAUUAAGUAAUUAUUUUUGAUCUUUGCUAAUGUGAGAGAGAGAAAAGAAUUUUUUUUUACUAUUUAAAAAAAAAUUCCCCAAUUAUUUUUGAUAGGGAGAGUUGUAUUCAGUAUGAAAUAGGCUAAAAAAAAAAAGUAAUAAAUGAAGACACUCUAAAAAAAAAACAAAAAAAAAUAACUAUAUAAAAAUAUUGGCGGGUAAAAAAUAUAAAUAUAAUAAAUAGAUGCCUUUUAUAAUAUCAUAAGCUUGUUUUUUCGUUAUAACAAUGCCUUUGGGGGAAGUAUAGGGGAUUAUAUAUAUAUGUCCUUUUGUAAAUAUAACUUUUUUUUAAAAACAAACUCUAAUAAUAAUAAAAUGUGAACCUUACUACAAAUAAUGGCACAGAAUGAAGGAGGAGGGGGGUAAAAAAGGAGAAAUUUCAAUAAUAUGAAACAAACUCUAUUGCUUUUUUUUUUUAAAUAAAAUAUAAGGAAAAGAGAUUCCGUUAUUUAAAAAAAAAAAAGUUGAGAGAGAUUCAAAUACCAGUUUACAUAUACCAAAUUCAACAUUUGCAUAUACAUAAUAAAAAAAAAAUUCAACCAUUUGAUAAAAAAGGUUUUUUUUCUUU